UGGAGACCUGCUGGUGUCGGGUACAAGCAGUGUUUGGAGUUUGCUGUUUCACAGGAGGGACUUUUGUUGUGGGAGAUGUUGUUUUGGCCUUGGACACCUCCUCUUAACAAGCUCCUUCUCCAGGGAAGCUUUGAAACCCGCCUGAGGUUCUGCAUUGGCUCUGAAUGAAAGGUGUUGUGCGUCUGAAGUGCCCGGCCCAAGAGCUCUCCAGCAAUGCAAACAGGCAGCACACAAAGCCAUUAAAGCUCGAGUGCCUGGCCAUGAUUACCUGGAGACAGUUUGCAGCUGAGUUCUGCAGGAACCGGCUUUGUCUGAAAAACCACCCGCGGCAGGUGGGGAAAGUCCAGCCAUCCACGACUUGUCCUGCAGCCAAGAGGAUCCAGGUCAGUGCUGGGGAGCAGGACUGUGCUGCCACGGGGAUCUCCACACUGCAGCCCUUGCCUGCAGCCACGGCAGCACUGCUUUGGUGUUGCUCAGAGACAGAAGCCAGUCAGAGCAGGAGAGAUGCCAGACUUCAGAAAAAAGCAGGGAGUGGGGCUGAAGCAAGGGAGAAAGAGGAGGAUUGUCUCAGGUGA
rnacentral:lncRNA from 1 species